GCUGGGCGCGGUGGCGCACACCUGUAAUCCCAGCAGCUCGGGAGGCUGAGGCAGGAGGAUCCUGAGUUCAAAGUCAGCCUAAGCAACAGGGAGGCACUCAGCAACUCAAUGAGACCUUGUCUCUA
rnacentral:sRNA from 1 species